GGGCCUGUUGCACAAAAGUAGAAUUAAGACAUCCGGGAUAAAUGACUCAGCUGAGCUCAAUGAAGCCAAAACAUGUGCGUCCAGGCUUAAUUGGUUGCACAAAGACCAAGCCAGGAUGAGCAGACACGGAUUCAUUAAGCCAGGUGAAACCAAUCCUGGAUAGGUGCGCGCUCACGGCUCACUCAAAUAGACCCCGCCACAGAUCACAGAUUAACUGAUUUACCAUGGCAACUAGAGCCGCGUACUUUUCCCGGUCGGAAGCACACAUCCUCAUGGAGGCAUACGAGGAGGUAAAAGAUAUAAUUAAGAAGAAAGGCAACACCGCCACAGUGAUAAAGCAAAGAGAAAAAGCGUGGCAAAGUAUUGCAGACCGCCUGAAUGCGUAAGUAGUGCACAAUUACACACUCACCGCUCCGCUGAAACAUCACAAUUACAAUUCAAAUAUUUAAUUCACAUCUCCAAAAAUGCAGUUGUACUGUAAUUAUGAAACGUUAAAUUUUUAAUUGAAAUGCACUGCAGAUAUGAGUGAAAUUGUGUAAAGUAACUCCAUCACACUGUAUAAAGCUAUGAUAAAUUUUUUGAUAUUUUUACUGAAAACAAGACAAAAAUACCAAGUAAUUUUUGCAGUGUGACUCCAUUAAAUGUGUGUUUGUGUGUGUGUGUGUGUGUGUGUGUGUAGAUUAAACAUGAACGGGCCAAAACGGACAUGGCAGCAGGUCAAAAUCAAAUACAAGAACAUUCUGCAGAAUGCAGUGAAAAAGAAUACCCACAGACAAGGCACGGGUGGUGGGUCACCAAAGGCUGACCUUACCCCAGCAGAGGACAUGGCCUUGGAGCUAAAUAAAGGCAGGCCCGUCUUAGAGGGGAUCCCUGGGGGAAAGAGACGAGCAUAGGUUCCUCCCAAGAUGCCACCCGCUUCAUUCAAGUGCCUGGCAGCACUGUGUUCCUGUUAGAGCCACCAGCACAAGCACCAGACGAUGCUGAUCCAGGUGAAGGCCCCAGUGCAGCAGCAACAGCACAUGAUGGAGACGAUGAUGAGGAGGAGACCAUCUCUCUGGAUUCCAGAAGGCAUGAGGACCCAGAUGCUAUACAGUGGGAAAACCAGCCUGGCAACAUAGUGCGUAUUAAUAAAAGGACACCACAUCCUGCCAAAUUCCAGCUGCGCUAAUUGUAUUGUGUUCACAGAGCUCACAAGCUAUCAGAAAGUUGUAUGGCAACCACCUCCGGCGCCAAAUAGAACUGGCAGACAUAGACAUUCAGUACAAGAAGAAAAAGAUGGAAAAUCUUGCACUGGAGUCCGAAAUAAAAAAGAGGACAAUUAGGAAACUGGACCUUGAAAUAAAAAAACUUGAGAGGGAGCUCCAAGAAGAUGACACAGCUCAAAAUAAAAAUUAGGUAUAUUCUCGUAAAGUCAAGUGAGCCAUGACAUAUGAGCUCUUAUUGUGAGCACACAGGACGGUGGAAUCUUUCUAAGGUUUUUUUUAUUUUCCCAGCAAUCAGUACAACCAAGUCAUCGUUAUAAGGCAUCGCCCUCUUUUGCCCACCCCCCCAGCACCAGGUGUGGCCACUAGCCUAUAUGAAGGCCCAAAAUUGUGUGUUCCUUUCUGCUCUGACAAUGGCAUGCCCAUUCGUGCGAGAUGUGGUGGAUGAAGAAGCACUUGUGCUGAGGAGAGCCUUCAGGCGAGAAAGGGUCUUCAGGGACCGGUUGGACCCACUGGCCUUCCCUGAUGACCAUCUAUUAGAAAGAUACAGGUUUUCUGCAGAUGGCAUCAGGUAUCUAUGCAGACUACUGGGUCCCAGGAUUAAGCACCGCACUGCACGGAGCCAUGCACUGAGUGUGGAGCAAAUGGUUUGUGUGGCCUUGCGCUUUUUUGCUAGUGGAGCCUUCCUGUACUCAGUGGGGGAUGCAGAACAGCUGAACAAGGCCACAAUUUGCCGCACAAUAAGGAGUGUGUGUCUGGCUAUCAAAGCAUUAGCAGAUGUCUUCAUCUCCUUCCCUGGCCACAGAAGACUCUGUGACAUCAAAGAGGAGUUCUAUAGGAUUGCAGGUUUCCCCAAUGUCAUUGGUGCAGUGGACUGCACACACAUAAGGAUAAAAGCCCCUCAGGUGCCCAUGAGGCCGAUUUUGUGAAUAGGAAAUCCUUUCACAGCAUUAAUGUUCAGAUGGUCUGCAAUGCUGACUGUGUGAUCAGCAAUGUUGUGGCAAAAUGGCCUGGCUCAGUCCAUGACUCCAGAAUCUUUCGGGCCUCUGAAAUCUAUCAGUGCCUAUCACAAGGUGAAUUCUCUGGUGUGUUGCUGGGAGACAGGGGUAUGGCUGCCAGCCUUUUCUCCUGACACCUUUCACAGACCCCCAGGAAGCACAGCAGGCCUACAACCAUGCCCAUGCCAGGACCAGGGCCAGAGUUGAAAUGACCUUUGGCCUCCUGAAGGCACGCUUUCACUGCCUUCACAAAUUAAGGGUCAGCCCUGUUAGGGCAUGUGAUAUUACUGUGGCUUGUGCUGUCCUCCACAAUGUGGCCUGCCUGAGGAAGGAGAGGGCCCCCAGAGUGCCACCAGCCAUGGACUGGGACAAUCCGGCAAUCUUCCCCUGAUGACGACAGUGGUCGGCUGCUGAGGGACCAAUAUGUGUUGAAUUAUUUUAGUUAGUAUGUGUGCUUUCAAUUUUGGUUAAAUAUGUCCUGCGGUGGCAGAGGAAUUUGGG